rnacentral:lncRNA from 1 species
AGACUGUAGACUUUCGAUUUCUAAGGAUGCAAAUCCAAAAGCAACCCUCGACAAAAUCGGCUGUCUACAGACUGUCCUGAGCCUGAAAUGGAUAAAAAGAAAGGGUGAGUUUUUACAAACCCAGUGAGUAAGCAAAAUUCAUCUAUAACAUCUAAAGCCGAGUAAAUGGAGACAGUUAAAUCAUCCCAUCAUAAUAUAGUUCAUAACAUUCAAAACUCAUUUAAAUUCCUAUAAAACAAUUACAUUUCAUCAAAAUAAUCAACAAGGCUUAUGAUUCUCUUAAAAACUUGGCUUGUGCCAAAACUCAUACUCAGUGACACCUUAGCCCGAGCAUCCAAUCGAGUCCACCAAGGAUGUUAAAAUGACAUAUACCCAUAAAACAUGUUUUUACUUUUAAAACAUAGCCAUUCCUUGGCGUUGGCUGAGUUUCAUCCUCACGUGGUGGUUCUAUGUGAAGUGAACUCUAAACUUACCUUAGGAGAUACCUUCUGCGCCUCUCGUACUAAGGUAAAAUAUGAUAGAGUUUAUUGUGCCCCUCUAAUAGGCUGGUCCACGGAAACCCACCCACUGCAAUAAGCUAAAUACAUAACCCACAAAAUUAAUAAAAUUUCGGCAGCAUAACAUGGCUAAUAUAGUACUAACCAACCUGUCAAUGUAAGACAAAACAAUUUAUAUAAUUCACAAAACCACAAUUUCAGCCAUUCAUGCUACCACAAUUUCAUAAGCCAUCAAUUCAAAUCAUGUAUAUAUAUAUAUAUAUAAUACGAAUGUAUAGCCUCCACUUACUNCAUGGCUAAUAUAGUACUAUCCAACCUGUCAAUGUAAGACAAAACAAUUUAUAUAAUUCACAAAACCACAAUUUCAGCCAUUCAUGCUACCACAAUUUCAUAAGCCAUCAAUUCAAAUCAUGUAUAUAUAUAUAUAUAUAAUACGAAUGUAUAGCCUCCACUUACUUUAUUUCGAAAAUCAACAUUUAGUUUCAGAAUAAUUUAUAAAUCUCAUUCAUUUAACCAACAUUUAAAAUGUAAAACAUAAUAAUUUGCAAAUUAAGUGCCUUAUUCUUUAAAAUCUUAAAACAAGUAUAAACCCCUUUAGAUAAUUAAGAUGAACAUCUGAUUACUCACAAUAGCAGGAGUUUGGAGUAUCCCUAUUCUUGGUCCUUGGGCACAAUAUCUUUACCCUUAUCAGAUGGCUCACCACCUAUACAUAAUACACGACACAUAAUUCAAUAUAUUUGUGCCAAACUGUUAUAAAACUAUUUCAGGCUCUAUAUGAAUGCAUGACAUUGAAUGAGAAUUGUCCGAAUAAUCACUUAAAAAUGGUAUUCAACGUGGGUUCAAUUAUGAUCGGACUGAAUUGGCAUUUGACCUAACUUGCACUAUGCCUUAUUUAAUUAGCCAAAACAUCCAAUUCAACUCUAAAUAUCUUCAUUACACUUCCAAUAUUCCAAAUACACCAAAGUACCUCAAUGAGCUUAAUUGUGACUUAAUUCACCGUAACCGAAAUUCAUUUCGAUUUCGAAAUCUGAUACCAUAAAUCAUCAAUUACGAGCUAAUUAACAUGAAAUAUAAUACAAUCCAUUAUCAACAUGUCAUCUAAUAAAUUCGGCCAAAGAGGUUUAUUGAAGGGCAUGUCAUUUUCUUGCUUGUUUUUCCUUCCAAACAUCACAAAAUGACUAAAAACACUAGGAUAUUAUGAAAUCUAGCAAAAUUCAUUACCAAAACUUCUCUCGCUCGAUUUGGCCAGCAAAGGUUCCCUCUUGAAAACUUGAAUUUCAGCCAUGGAGAAUGAAAAAGAAUGCAUGGGAAAGGUAUAUCACCAGCUAAAAUAAAAAAAUCUUACCUUUACUUGCUUGAUUUCUUAAAAUCCAACAAUUUCUCUUGAAUUUUUCCUUCCUAGGGUUUGUUCUUCUCUUUUUCUCUUUGUUCCCUUGUUUGGCCGGC